GAUGAAGAACGUAGCGAAAUGCGAUACUUGGUGUGAAUUGCAGAAUCCCGUGAACCAUCGAGUCUUUGAACGCAAGUUGCGCCCGAAGCCAUUAGGCCGAGGGCACGCCUGCCUGGGCGUCACACGUCGUUGCCCCCCCAUCUACUCCUUCGGGAUUGCGGGGGGCGGAUGAUGGCCUCCCGUGCGCCUCGUCGCGCGGUUGGCAUAAAUGCCAAGUCCUCGGCGACGCACGCCACGACAAUCGGUGGUUGCGAACCCUCGGUUGCCCGUCGUGUGCGGUCAUCGCGCAUCGAGGGCUCGAAAAAAUUGCCGGGCUCCGGCUCGGCUUUCAACGCGACCCCAGGUCAGGCGGGGUUACCCGCUGAAUUUAAGCAUAUCAAUAAGCGGAGGA
rnacentral:misc_RNA from 1 species